rnacentral:rRNA from 1 species
AGAGUUUGAUUAUGGCUCAGGAUGAACGCUAGCGACAGGCUUAACACAUGCAAGUCGAGGGGCAUCACGGGAGUAGCAAUACAACUGGUGGCGACCGGCGCACGGGUGAGUAACGCGUAUGCAACCUACCUAUCAGAGGGGAAUAACCCGGCGAAAGUCGGACUAAUACCGCAUAAACAGGGGCACCGCAUGGUGAUAUUUGUUAAAGAAAUUCGCUGAUAGAUGGGCAUGCGUUCCAUUAGGUAGUUGGUGAGGUAACGGCUCACCAAGCCGACGAUGGAUAGGGAACUGAGAGGUUGGUCCCCCACACUGGUACUGAGACACGGACCAGACUCCUACGGGAGGCAGCAGUGAGGAAUAUUGGUCAAUGGGCGGGAGCCUGAACCAGCCAAGUCGCGUGAAGGAAGAAGGAUCUAUGGUUCGUAAACUUCUUUUGCAGGGGAAUAAAGUGCAGGACGUGUCCUGUUUUGUAUGUACCCUGAGAAUAAGGAUCGGCUAACUCCGUGCCAGCCGCCGC